AGCCUUCUGUAUCUGUGCUGGAAUUUCGUCACACACCAGAACUCAAAGGCUGAUGAGAAUCCCACGAUAAGUGGAGCG
rnacentral:pre_miRNA from 1 species